GGGGAGAUACUCAAGCGGCCAACGAGGGCAGACUGUAAAUCUGCUGGGAGACCUUCGCAGGUUCGAAUCCUGCUCUCCCCACAA
rnacentral:tRNA from 2 species